AGAGAGAGAUAUCCAGCCUCUGUGACCCCCGAACUCUGUGACCUGUCUUGUCCUGUAUCGAUUCUCUUGCUGUCUGGGGUCGUCCUGGCCUGCACCUGACCUAUGUGUCCUGCGGGGCCUGCCAGGGGACGGAUUAUGACCUUUUCCUCGUUUUUCUCCCCCUAGGAUUCAGUCUUGGGGGUUAAGUUGAUGUCUUCCUCGAAUUUCCCCUCAAAGUUAUGACCGAGGCCUUUUAUAACCUAUUGUACUGUUCCUUGGAGGUUAUUUUGUGUUUCCAGGUGUAAUUCUUAAGCCCAGAUGUAUUUUUUUAUCAUUUAAUCUCUAGUUUCAUCUCCAUUACCCUUUAUAUGAUGUCCAGUGCCGUAUCUCUCCUAUUUCACUGUUCCUUGGAGGUUAUUUUGUGUUUCCAGGUGUAAUUAUGAAGCCCAGGUGUCAUUUCUAUCAUCUAGUCUCUAGUUUCAUCUCUAUUACCCUUUUUGUUAUGUCCAGUGCCGUAUCUCUCCUAUUUCACUGUUCUGGGGAGGUUAUGUUGUGUUUCCAGGUGUAAUUCUUAAGCCCAGGUGGCAUUUUUUAAUAAUUUUAUCACUAAUUUCAUCUCUAUACCUUCUAUGAGCCUGUUUUUGUACUGUCCAGGGCACUUUUCUUAACCCAUUUUGCUGUCUGUGGAAGGGUAUGGAGGGUAUGCAGGUGUAAUUCCUUAGCCCAGGUGUAACUUUCAACUUUAAAUCUCCCUCUCAUCUCUUUCCUCUACCAUCCUGUUUUUAUAAUGUCCAGGGCACUUUUCUUAACCCAUUUUGCUGUCUCUGGAAGGGUAUGGAGGGUAUGCAGGUGUAAUUCCUUAGCCCAGGUGUAACUUUCAACUUUAAGUCUCUUCCUUUCAUCUCUUUCCUCUACCAUCCUGUUUUUGUAAUGUCCAGGGCACUUUUCUUAACCCAUUUUGCUGUCUGUGGAAGGGUAUGGAGGGUAUGCAGGUGUAAUUCCUUAGCCCAGGUGUAACUUUCAACUUUGUCUCUUCCUCUCAUCUCUUUCCUCUACCAUCCUGUUUUUAUAAUGUCCAGGGCACUUUUCUUAACCCAUUUUGCUGUCUGGAAGGUUAU